CGAGUUUGAUCAUGGCUCAGGAUGAACGCUAGCGGCGGGCCUAAUACAUGCAAGUUGAACGGGAUUGUUGGUAGCAAUAUUGACAUGAGAGUGGCGCACGGGUGCGUAACACGUAUGUAACCUACCUUUAACUGGGGCAUAGCUUCGAGAAAUCGAAAUUAACUACCCCAUAACAUUUAGAAAAGGCAUCUUUUCUUUAUCAAAGCUCAGGCGGUUAAGGAUGGACAUGCGGUGCUAUUAGCUUGUUGGUGAGGUAACGGCUCACCAAGGCUACGAUGCAUAGGGGGUCUGAGAGGAUGAUCCCCCACACUGGUACUGAGACACGGACCAGACUCCUACGGGAGGCAGCAGUAGGGAAUAUUGGGCAAUGGACGAAAGUCUGACCCAGCCACGCCGCGUGAAGGAUGAAUGCCCUCUGGGUUGUAAACUUCUUUUGUAUGGGAAGAAAAUUCCGAACGUGUUCGGAGCUGACGGUACCAUAAGAAUAAGCAUCGGCUAACUCCGUG
rnacentral:rRNA from 1 species